rnacentral:rRNA from 2 species
GGGUUGUGAGGUUAAGUGACUAAGCGUACACGGUGGAUGCCUAGGCAGUCAGAGGCGA